GAAGAAUAUGUGGAUGUGGAGGAUGAAGAAGAAGAGGAAGAAGAAGAGGAGAACAAGACCAAGCCCUCCACAAGAAGAAGAAGAAAAGGAAAAGGAGGAAAAGUGGUUUGCUUCAAUGACUGCAGCCUCACCCAGGUCCUCGAGUUCCAGCCUAGUGGCCGCCGUGACGAGGUUCACAGCUCCGCCUAUGGAAUUUUCUUUAUGGCCUGCCGCUCCACUUGUGCCGUCUCUGGGGAUAAUCAUGAGGGAGGGUCAGGGAACCAAGGCUUGAGCUGCCGCAACGCAAAGAACAUGGUGGUGACAAGCCUUAGCCGCCUCAAGCCUGCGGGCACAUGGUGGUGACAAGCCUUAGCCGCCUCAAGCCUGCGGGCAAGGAAGAUGAGGUCCAUGGUGGGAGGGGAGCCCGGCCGAUGAUGUCGGCGGCAGAUGGGGGUCAGUGAGUGAGCAGACCGACGGCCUUAUCCGCAGGAGCCUCGCCCACAGCCACGUACAGAUGAGAAGGAAGGUGGAUGGAGCUCCUCCAACGCCUCAAGGCCCCUCCAGCAUGCAUGCAUUUUUAUGAAUUCUGAGGAGAGGACGGCAGGAAGGAAAGCCGAGCUAGCGGGAGCCGGCGGCAAGAUUCAUAUAGCAGCAGAGCAGAGUCUUGUCCGCAACAACACUGGAUGCAAUGCCUCUGUCUAUCUAGUCUUAAUUGUGGGCAGGCAGAAAGAAAGCAAGGUGUUGUUGGAUUACCUUACCUUAUCCUUACCACGAGAGAUUUGACAAGAGGGAGCUCAAUGCAUGCAAUGAAGAAUGUCAUCUUGCUUGGCAGCAGAGCAGAGCAGAGUUGCAGCUGGGCCAACACGCUCCAGCAAGCACAUGAUUCCUUCCUUCCCUUUUUUUUCUUAUGUGGCAUGUAUGUUACUCCCACUAUGCAUGCAUGACUAGUCUUAGUCGUGUCAGUCUCCAUGAAGAUUAUUGUAAGCUAGAGACAAGUUGUUCUUCUCCUACCU